CUCGAAGCUGGGGCGUCUGACACCUGAGGCCCGAAGUAGGUGGCCAGCUUCUUAGAGGGCCAACCCAGGGCAUUAACACACCAGGAUAGUGGCCGCAGUUGUAUUAUCUUGUGCAUUUGUCAACAGAGGUCAUCCGAACGCUGAGAUAAAGGCUUGGGAUUCCAUUGUCUCAUCUCUUUCUGGGAGUGAUUUUCCUCUCAUCUGGAAGUGCAGAGACAGUCUUCAUAGGGAACUGAGAUUACCUCCAAAAAACAUUUGUGAAGUGAGCGAUUCCUAGAAGGCUGUUAAUGUUGAUUAAUGAAAUUAUACAAAAAGAAUCGUAAGAUAGCUGGAGAAGAAAAUUAUCUGUGAUGCCUGGAAAAGAUACGUCUCAGUGGGAGGUAAGUACAGAAUCCUGAGUUCUGAGAUGUGAGGAAAUUCAGUUGAGGUAAUGGUUCUGCUAGAAUUGUGGCUACCAGUAAAUUUUUGUUUCUUCAAAUUAUGAUUUAUUUCUCUUCCUGAUAACAUUGAACAAUCAUAAAUGUGGAGGGAAAGGAAUCAUUGAGGGUUGAUUUAGAGAGAGUAAACAGGUGCAAAGCCAUGGUUCCUGUAUGUUUUAACAAAUACUAACUGAGCACCCGCCCU
rnacentral:lncRNA from 1 species